rnacentral:rRNA from 1 species
GACGAACGCUGGCGGCAGGCUUAACACAUGCAAGUCGAACGGAGUGGCGGACGGGUGAGUAAUGCUUGUGAAUCUAGCUUAUGGAGGGGGAUAACUACGGGAAACUAUAGCUAAUACCGCGUACCAUAGGAUGAGCCCAAGUGGGAAUAGGUAGUGGGGGAGGUAAAGGCUCACCAAGCAGACGAUCUCUAGCUGGUCUGAGAGGAUGACCAGCCACACUGGGACUUGGACACGGCCCAGACUCCUACGUGAGGCAGCAGUGGGGAAUAUUGGACAAGUGGCGAAAGCCUGAUCCAGCCAUGCCGCGUGGGGGAAGAAGGUCUUCGGAUUGUAAAGCACUUUAAGUUGGGAGGCGUUACCAACAGAAUAAGCACCGGCUAACUUCGUGCCAGCCGCCGCGGUAAUUC